GCUGGGCAUGGUGGCGCAUGCCUGUAGUCCCAGCUACUCGGGAGGCUGAGGCAGGAGAAUCGCUUGAACCCGGGAGGUGGAGGUUGCAGUGAGCUGGGAUCACGCCACUGCACUCCAGCCUGGGCGACAGAGUGAGACGCUGUCUCCC
rfam:Homo sapiens chromosome 4, GRCh38 reference primary assembly.